GACGAACGCUGACGGCGUGCUUAACACAUGCAAGUCGAAGGGAGUGGCGAACGGGUGAGUAACACGUGAGUAACCUGCCCUUUUCUUUGGGAUAAGCCUGGGAAACUGGGUCUAAUACUGGAUGCAUUGGGAUGGGCUCGCGGCUUAUCCGCUUGUUGGUGGGGUGAUGGCUUACCAAGGCUUUGACGGGUAGCCGGCCUGAGAGGGGGGUCGGUGACGGUGGGACGGCGAUACGGCCCAGACUCCGACGGGAGGCAGCAGUGGGGGAUAUUGCACAAUGGACGAAAGACUGAUGCAGCGACGUCGUGGGGGGGAUGAAGGCCUUCGGGUUGUAAACUCCUUUCGCCAGCGGAAUGGUAGUGGGUAAAGAAGCGCCGGCUAACUACGUGCCAGCCGCCGCGGUAAUUC
rnacentral:rRNA from 1 species